rnacentral:rRNA from 1 species
UACGAAGGGGGCGAGCGUUGUUCGGAAUUACUGGGCGUAAAGGGCGCGCAGGCGGCCCUUGAAGUCAGGCGUGAAAGCCCCGGGCUCAACCUGGGAGGUGCGCUUGAUACUCGAGGGCUUGAGUGCGGGAGAGGUGAGUGGAAUUCCCAGUGUAGCGGUGAAAUGCGUAGAUAUUGGGAGGAACACCAGUGGCGAAGGCGGCUCACUGGACCGGUACUGACGCUGAGGCGCGAAAGCGUGGGGAGCAAACGGG